UCACAGUUUGCACUGGCAGUCUCGUUAGAGUUCCCGACAUGACUCGCUGGCAACUAACGACAGGGGUUGCGCUCGUUAUAGGACUUAACCUGACACCUCACGGCACGAGCUGACGACAACCAUGCAGCACCUUGUAAAUUGUCCGAAGAAAAGUCUGUUUCCAAACCUGUCAAUCUACAUUUAAGCCUUGGUAAGGUUCCUCGCGUAUCAUCGAAUUAAACCACAUGCUCCACCGCUUGUGCGGGCCCCCGUCAAUUCCUUUGAGUUUCAAACUUGCGUUCGUACUCCCCAGGUGGGGAUGACGUACCUUACAGCGUAC
rnacentral:misc_RNA from 1 species